rnacentral:rRNA from 1 species
CCUACGGGGGGCUGCAGUGAGGAAUAUUGGUCAAUGGGCGCGAGCCUGAACCAGCCAAGUAGCGUGAAGGAUGACUUCCCUACGGGUUGUAAACUUCUUUUAUAAGGGAAUAAAGUGAGGCACGCGUGCCUUUUUGUAUGUACUUUAUGAAUAAGGAUCGGCUAACUCCGUGCCAGCAGCCGCGGUAAUACGGAGGAUCCGAGCGUUCUCCGGAUUUAUUGGGGUUAAAGGGAGCGUAGGCGGGUUGUGAAGUCAGUUGUUAAAGUUUGCAGCUCAAACGUUACAGUGCAAUUGAUACUGGCAGCCUUGAGUACAGUAGAGGUAUGCGGAAUGCGUGGUGUAGCGGUGAAAUGCUUAGAUAUCACGCAGAACUCCGAUUGCGAAGGCAGCUUACUAACCUGCCACUGACAUUGAUGCUCGAAAGUGUGGGUAUCAAACAGGAUUAGAUACCCUGGUAGUC